AGAGUUUGAUCCUGGCUCAGAUUGAACGCUGGCGGCGUGCCUAACACAUGCAAGUCGAGCGGCAGCGCGGUAGCAAUACUGGCGGCGAGCGGCGAACGGGUGAGUAACGCUUCGGAAUCUACCUAGUAGUGGGGAAUAACUAACCGAAAGGUUAGCUAAUGCCGCAUACGUUCCAAGGAAGAAAGCGGGGGAUCGCAAGA
rnacentral:rRNA from 1 species